UGCAGCUGUGUCAAAUUCGGUACCUGCCUACCUGUGGCAGGCAUUGGCCCAGAAGGCUGCCAUAGAAACACUGUGACUCAUGGGCCCUGUUCCUCUCUCCUGGGCUCAGGGAUAAAUCUGGUUACAGACAGCA